AUGGAUAAAGAUGGAACGAUUGUUGGUCGACAACGUGAUAGAGCUGCUACUGCGAGGGCUCGAGAGAGGGGAUAUGACAUAUAUGAUUUGAAUAUCCGAGCAGGGAGAGUGGCACCAACUAAUUCUCAUAGGAGGCAGAUGGUCAAACAGACUCAAUUUUAUGCACCCCGCACUAUCCGACGCAUAAGAUCUAGAUCUGCUUCUGGAUGGACGAGAGAUGAUGAGGAUGAGCCUAGUGAUGUUUAG